rnacentral:lncRNA from 1 species
AAUCCCACGCCUCCGUGGCACAUUCAGUAAUUCUGGCAAAAAGUGAGGUGAUUCAGUUGAGCCCCGCUGCCCCUUGCUAUAAAAGACCAAUCUUUACAUCGACAUUGAUAUAUAUGCUUUCCUCUCUCCGCCGUCGUCUCUCUCUUGAACACUUUUUUCUCAAAUUUCGCUCCAAAUUGAGUAAAAAAACUGAAAGGAGACCUCCGUUUCAGUUUUUUUUGAAAUUAACUGGUUCGAUUUGAUGAGUUCAUCGUAAUCGAAUCGGAUAUCGGAUCGGUUUCGUCUACUGUCGCUGUUUAACCUCCUCCUCCCACCUAGGAUUUAUCGGAGAUUUCUUUGGUGGUUUUGUAGGUACUAUUUUGUCAGAUCUCGGUGAUCUGGAGCUGUUUUGAUUAAUGCACGCGGUCGUGUUCGGUGAAUUGACUGUUUCUGGAUUUGUUUUGAGUGUUUCUGUGUGAGAUCGUGCUGAUCGCUGGCGUUGAGUUGUAGAUCUCUAUCGUAUGUGUCAUUGCAUGUGUUUCUUAAGCUUUUUGCAAUGGAAUUUGCUCGUGUGGUUAUGCGAUGUGCGUGAUUCUGCAUCGGGCGGCAUGUUGAAGCUGCUAGACAGUAAUUGAUCACUUGCAUUUAUUCGUUUGUUAAAUCUUGGAGUUAAUGCCUUCAAAAAGAGUCUUUUGUGUGUCUUCGUAGACUAUUGUAUUUGUGAAUUAGAUUGAUAUAAGGUUCGAAUGGGGUUAUAGAAUGUUAGUAUGAUUUUGCAGAAGCAUGGAUCUGUUAUUUUCAGCUUUUUAAUUUGCGUUGAUGCUAAAAUAUUUCUGCUUUAAUGAAAAAUUAAUCAUUUUUUGGCACUUUAAUCAGUAUUUAAACUGAUAUAAAUUUCUCCUCCUUGUGAUUUAUCAAAGAUAAGUCUUUCUCCAACCUUUUAUUUGAAUUAGUUUUGAAAAUAAAGUUUUGAUCUUUUAUCUUUAUUUUUAUGGUUUUCAGUAGUACAAUUUAAUGGUUUGGCAGUAUGUGAGUUUGAUUGCUUAGUUUUUCCAGGUCGUACUGCUAUAAAUUAUUUAAGUAAUUAAAGCUUCAGAUGCUUAGUUUGAUUGCCCGAUCAGGGAACCAUACAUAAAAACUGAUAGAGAAAGAGCAUUGGAGCUGAAUUCUUUUGUUCUUGUUGAUGGUGUUUUUACCUUUUCAUUUGUGGGUUUCUAUUAUAUUGUAUUCGUGUAUAUGUUCUUCAGUAGUUGCAGGAUACCAUGUAUUGCUGUGCUUUCUAAAGUCACCGCCUUGAACCUCUUGUUAUGCAGAUUUUGCUGUUGAAAUGGCAUCAACAGCUGGAGCCACAGGAUGGUUGAGGGGAAUAGUAAAAGCUGUUCCAUCUGGUGACUGCUUGGUGAUAAUGG